UUACUGUCCAAGUCACUGUCGCCCAAGCCGCCGCCACCAUCUCCGCCGCUGUCGCCACACAAGCCGCCGCCGCCGCCGAAGCCGGCUUCGAAUCCUAUCACAAAAGAGGGAUUUGUACUUUUAUUGUAUGAUUCAUAGGGUUGUCUAAUAGUUUUAGUUGUUUAUCAUUUUUUGUCUUAAAUGUUUGAGAUUAUAUUGAUUCAGAGCGAUCUUUUAUGCUGAAGUAAUGAAGAAAAUGGAAAAAAGGGCAAUUUUUUACUAGGAAUGGUUUCAAUACUCUUUAUAUAGCAAAUUUUUUUCUAGAGAUAAAAGAGAGAAAUGGAGAUAGAUCUAGAUAGAGGGGAAAGAGAGAGAUUUCAAGAGGGAGUGGUUUCGAGACUCUUAAUAUAGUAAUUUUUUUCUGGAGAAAAGAGGAGAGAGGGAUUUAGAGAAAGACAGAAAGAGGGGAAAGAGAGAGACAUCCAAAUAGAGUGAGAGUAAGAGGAGAGGGAGAAGAAGGAGGGAAGAGAGAGGCAUUUGGAGGAGGCAACAGAGCACACUGCGUGGAGAAGAUGAAGGAGAGAGCGCCACAUAGAUUGAAGGAAUCGUCAAAUUAUAAAUUGUAUAGGUGUGGAUUUCUCCUUUUUUUCGGGUAGGAUAGCGAUAAGAAAAUGGUUACAGCACUAGAAGA
rnacentral:lncRNA from 1 species